rnacentral:rRNA from 1 species
UUUUUAUAGAAAUCAUUAUAAAUAAAACCUGCUCAAUGAACAUUUUAAAAGCCGCAAACAUUUAUCUGUGCUAAGGUAGCAUAAUCAUUAGACUUUAAAAUAAAGACCAGUAUGAAAGAUUAAACAAUUAAUUAUCUUUUUUUAUUUAACACAUUAAAAUUAAAUUAAUAAUAAAAAUGUUAUUAUAAAAAAAAAAGACGACAAGACCCUAUCAAACUUUACUUAAGUUAAGCUGGGGCAGCUUAUUAACUAUAACUUUAAUUAAAUAUAAACAAUAAACCUAUAAAAUUGACAUUUAAUUAAGUUACUGUAGGGAUAACAGCGUAAUUUUUCUCUAAAGCUCAUAUUUAAAAAAAAGUAUACGACCUCGAUGUUGAAUAAUUUCCCUUUAAAAGCGCAAAAGCUUUAAAAGAAGGUCUGCUCGACCUAUAAAUAAUUACA